rnacentral:rRNA from 1 species
UACAGAGACUGCAAGCGUUAUUCGGAUUUACUGGGCGUAAAGGGUGCGCAGGCGGCCAAGUGUGUGAGGUGUGAAAGCCUGGAGCUUAACUCCAGAAUUGCACCUCAAACUACUUGGCUAGAGCAUUGGAGAGGGUAGCAGAAUUCACGGUGUAGCAGUGAAAUGCGUAGAUAUCGUGAGGAAUACCAGAGGCGAAGGCGGCUACCUGGACAAUUGCUGACGCUCAGGCACGAAAGCGUGGGGAGCAAAAGGG